rnacentral:rRNA from 1 species
UACGAGGGGGGCAAGUGUCGUUCGGAAUCACUGGGCGUAAAGGGAGCGUAGGCGGGCUUCUAAGUUAGGUGUUUAAUCCCGGGGCCCAACCCCGGUCGUGCACCUAAAACUGGGAGUCUUGAAUAGUGGAGAGGUCAGUGGAAUUGGGGGUGUAGCGGUGGAAUGCGUAGAGAUCCCCAAGAACACCAGUUGCGAAGGCGGCUGACUGGACACAUAUUGACGCUGAGGCUCGAAAGCAUGGGGAGCAAACAGG